rnacentral:rRNA from 1 species
GAUGAACGCUGGCGGCGUGCCUAAUACAUGCAAGUCGAGCGAACAGACGAGGAGCUUGCUCCUCUGACGUUAGCGGCGGACGGGUGAGUAACACGUGGAUAACCUACCUAUAAGACUGGGAUAACUUCGGGAAACCGGAGCUAAUACCGGAUAAUAUAUUGAACCGCAUGGUUCAAUAGUGAAAGACGGUUUUGCUGUCACUUAUAGAUGGACCCGCGCCGCAUUAGCUAGUUGGUAAGGUAACGGCUUACCAAGGCGACGAUGCGUAGCCGACCUGAGAGGGUGAUCGGCCACACUGGAACUGAGACACGGUCCAGACCCCUACGGGAGGCAGCAGUAGGGAAUCUUCCGCAAUGGGCGAAAGCCUGACGGGGCAACGCCGCGUGAGUGAUGAAGGUCUUCGGAUCGUAAAACUCUGUUAUUAGGGAAGAACAAAUGUGUAAGUAACUAUGCACGUCUGGACGGUACCUAAGCAGAAAGCCACGGCUAACUACGU